rnacentral:piRNA from 1 species
UCUCUGGGUAGCCACUUAGUAGUUGGGAUGU